rnacentral:rRNA from 1 species
GUAAGCUUAUGUACGCUUUUCUCUCCCGAUGCAAGUCGGGAGAGAAGAAACUUUCUAAUAAAAUACUUUUUUCUUUAUCUCAGUAUGUUAAGAUAUUAUUGCAAUUACGAAUUCAUAAUUACGAAUUACGAUUUGCAAAUAAUUGCCCAAAGCAAUUAUAACCUCUUAAGGUGGUUAUUGCGGCGGGGCUCACCUCUUCCCAUCCCGAACAGAGUAGUUAAGCCCGCCUGCGCAGAUGGUACUGCAGUUAUGUGGGAGAGUAUGUCGUCGCCUUUC